ACUCCUACGGGAGGCAGCAGUGGGGAAUAUUGCACAAUGGGCGCAAGCCUGAUGCAGCAACGCCGCGUGAGCGAUGAAGGCCUUCGGGUCGUAAAGCUCUGUCCUCAAGGAAGAAUAAAUGACGGUACUUGAGGAGGAAGCCCCGGCUAACUACGUGCCAGCAGCCGCGGUAAUACGUAGGGGCAAGCGCUAUCCGGAAUCACUGGGCGUAAAGGGUGCGUAGGCGGUUUUUCAAGUCAGAAGUGAAAGGCUAUGGCUCAACCAUAGUAAGCUUUUGAAACUGUUAAACUUGAGUGCAGGAGAGGAAAGUGGAAUUCCUAGUGUAGAGGUGAAAUUCGUAGAUAUUAGGAGGAACACCAGUGGCGAAGGCGACUUUCUGGACUGUAACUGACGCUGAGGCACGAAAGCGUGGGGAGCGAACAGGAUUAGAUACCCUGGUAGCACAGAG
rnacentral:rRNA from 1 species